rnacentral:lncRNA from 1 species
AGCAAAAAAGGAAAGCAAACAAUGUCCGAGGGCAACGGAAGCUCGGAUCUCCGAAUUCAAGCCCUAGGAGGGACCUCGGGCCCGAAUGACCCCAAGCGAACCUGCAGCCAUCAACGGAAUGACAAUUGGAUAUCUUCGAACGGCGUAAAAGCCAAAAAGGAGCUCGGCAAAUGACAACCCUACAUGGAUAGAAGAGGUCGUCGAUGACCUUGGGACAACGUGAAAA